GCGGGAGUCCCUUUUCGUCCCCUAAUGUGGCACAGCGAAGGCGAAAAAGUUAUUUACGCCUUCCAAGCUGAUAUUCGUGGGUUCGAAUCCCAUCUCCCGCU
rnacentral:tRNA from 1 species